rnacentral:rRNA from 1 species
UACGUAGGGUGCGAGCGUUGUCCGGAAUUAUUGGGCGUAAAGAGCUCGUAGGCGGCCCUGUCGCGUCGGAUGUGAAAGCCCGGGGCUUAACCCCGGGUCUGCAUUCGAUACGGGCAGGCUAGAGUGUGGUAGGGGAGAUCGGAAUUCCUGGUGUAGCGGUGAAAUGCGCAGAUAUCAGGAGGAACACCGGUGGCGAAGGCGGAUCUCUGGGCCAUUACUGACGCUGAGGAGCGAAAGCGUGGGGAGCGAACAGG